rnacentral:rRNA from 1 species
CCUACGGGGGGCAGCAGUGGGGAAUAUUGGACAAUGGGGGGAACCCUGAUCCAGCCAUGCCGCGUGUGUGAAGAAGGCCCUCGGGUUGUAAAGCACUUUCAGUGAGGAAGAACGCCUGGUGGUUAAUACCCAUCAGGAAAGACAUCACUCACAGAAGAAGCACCGGCUAACUCCGUGCCAGCAGCCGCGGUAAUACGGAGGGUGCGAGCGUUAAUCGGAAUUACUGGGCGUAAAGCGCGCGUAGGUGGCUUGAUAAGCCGGUUGUGAAAGCCUCGGGCUCAACCUGGGAACGGCAUCCGGAACUGUCAAGCUAGAGUGCAGGAGAGGAAGGUAGAAUUCCCGGUGUAGCGGUGAAAUGCGUAGAGAUCGGGAGGAAUACCAGUGGCGAAGGCGGCCUUCUGGACUGACACUGACACUGAGGUGCGAAAGCGUGGGUAGCAAACAGGAUUAGAUACCCCAGUAGUC